GACGAACGCUGGCGGCGUGCUUAACACAUGCAAGUCGAACGGAAAGGCCCUGCUUUUGUGGGGUGCUCGAGUGGCGAACGGGUGAGUAACACGUGAGUAACCUGCCCUUGACUUUGGGAUAACUUCAGGAAACUGGGGCUAAUACCGGAUAGGAGCUCCUGCUGCAUGGUGGGGGUUGGAAAGUUUCGGCGGUUGGGGAUGGACUCGCGGCUUAUCAGCUUGUUGGUGGGGUAGUGGCUUACCAGGUCUUUGACGGGUAGCCGGCCUGAGAGGGUGACCGGCCACAUUGCUACUGAGAUACGGAGCAGACUCCUACGGGAGGCAGCAGUGGGGAAUAUUACACAAUGGGCGGAAGCGUGAUGCAGAAACGCUGCGUGCGGGAUGACGGCCUUCGGGGUGUAAACCGCUUUCGCCUGUGACGAAGCGGGAGUGACGGUAAUGGGUAAAGAAGCACCGGCUAACUACGUG
rnacentral:rRNA from 1 species